rnacentral:lncRNA from 1 species
GUAAGAGACCCGGUUUACACAUCAAUAACCUCUAGAAAAAAUGUGUUUAAUCCUUAUAAUUCUGCAUCCAAACAUACGCAAUUAUUAAUUCACAUUAUUUGAUUGAUGGCUGCUAUAUUUACCAUCAAAAGCACAAUGGCAUGUCGUAACUAAGCAGUGGCCGCCAUUUUGACUUUCUAAAAACCAUAAAUGUCCGAUAAAUGCAACAGAAUCAAAAAUGAAAUAGCACCUACCUCAAAAACUUCAUUUAAAUUAAAUAAUAUCCGAAUUUGAAGCGUACGCGUAACGAAAUAAUCUCUCCCUUGAAUAUUUUCAUUCGUAUGACGUCGUGUUUUUCCAUGACGUAAAUUCGCCAAAUCC